rnacentral:rRNA from 1 species
CUUUCAACAACGGAUCUCUUGGUUCUGGCAUCGAUGAAGAACGCAGCGAAAUGCGAUAAGUAAUGUGAAUUGCAGAAUUCAGUGAAUCAUCGAAUCUUUGAACGCACAUUGCGCCCCUCGGUAUUCCGGGGGGCAUGCCUGUUCGAGCGUUG